GGGGGUAGCGCAGGCUCGGCCCGGCCCCGAACUCGGCUGCGCGCCGUGCCCUGCCCUCCGUGUCGUGCCCUCCGCCCUCGCCGCGCCGCAGCCGGAGUCUGAAGGAGGAGGCGGCGUUGCCGCCGCUGGAUAUGUAGGGGCCCCGGAGCGGGCGGAUCCGGAGGCCGCUGUCUGCCUCUGGAGCGCGGGGCCGGGGCCGGGCUCGGGCCCGGCGGGAUGUUCUCCAAGAAGCCGCACGGCGACGUGCGGAAAUCCACGCAGAAGGUGCUGGACACCCGCAAGGACCCGCUCACCCGGCUCAAGCACUUGCGUGUCCUCAUCGAGAAUGCAGAAUCAAUUGAUCUCAAACAGUUUUUUGACCUACAUUUCUCACAUAUAUAUUAUGUGUUCUUUGAAAACUUUGUGACUAUUGAAGUAGGCCUUAAACAAAAGGGUCACAAGUCUCAGAGAGAAGAGUUAGAUUCUAUUCUUUUUAUUUUUGAGAAAAUUUUGCAACUCCUUCCUGAAAGGAUUCAUCAGAGAUGGCAAUUUCAUAGUAUUGGAUUGAUUUUAAAGAAGCUUCUUCACACUGGAAAUUCAUUAAAGAUACGUCGAGAGGGCGUGCGUCUCUUUCUUCUGUGGUUGCAAGCGCUUCAAAAUAACUGUAGUAAAGAACAAUUAUGGAUGUUUUCUUGCUUGAUUCCUGGAUUUUCAUCACCACAGUCUGAAUAUGGCCCCCGAACACUUGAUAAUCUCAUUAACCCUCCACUUAAUGUUCAAGAAACUCAAGUGACUACUGAGGAAAUCACUCCACUUGUUCCUCCACAAUCGGGAGAUAAAGGACAAGAAGAUUUAACAAGCUAUUUUUUAGAAGCACUUUUGAAAUACAUGGUAAUUCAGGUUAAGAGUUUAGAAUGGAAGAACAAGGAAAAUCAGGAAAAGGGAUUUUCAUUUUUAUUCUCAAAUUUUAAGAAGUACUACUUACCGUCUAUUUUCCCAAACAUCUGUAAGGAGACCAGCUUGUAUAACCCUAUACUUGAUAUACCACAAAUGAGACCAAAGCCACACUACGUAAUGGUUAAGAAAGAUGCUGAAACCAAUGAGGCAAUAUAUUGCACAAAGGAACCUUUUAUUAAGGCUCGUGUUAUUGUCAUUAGAUGGUUGGUGUCUUUCUGGCUUGAGCCAAAACCUCACACAGGACCUCAUAUUCCUGGGAUGGAAGGUGAAAAUGUGCCAAAGAACAUUCAGAGAGCAGCUGCUAGCAUGGCUUCAAGGGAGGACAGCAAAAAUGACAGUACUGAUAAGCAGGAUAGAAAUGCAGAGCCAGAACAAUCUCAUUCUAAUACGAGUACUCUAACUGAGAGAGAACCAAGUUCUUCCAGCCUCUGCAGUAUUGAUGAAGAGCAUUUAACUGAUAUUGAAAUUGUCCGCAAAGUCUUUUCUUCUAAAAGAAGCAAUGUUAAUUUUCUAACUGAGAUUUUUCGACAGGCAUUUCUGUUGCCAAUAUGUGAAGCAGCUGCCAUGAGGAAAGUGGUGAAGGUGUAUCAAGAAUGGAUUCAACAAGAAGACAAACCUUUAUUUAUGAAAGAACCUGAAGAAAUAAUGCAGGGCACAGCUGUAGAUUGUGAUGAAAACAUUGACCAUAAUUCAUCAGAGAAAGGAAAAGAAAGAGAAGAGGAAAAAGGGAUGAACUCCAGUCAUGUUAGAAAUUCAAACUGGACAAGAAAUGGCUGUUAUGAAGACACUUUGCAUAAAACAUCUGAAAUUGAUAAUGAAGAGCAAAAUGUACGAGCUGGAGUGCAGUCAGUAUUGCAGGUUUUUAUAAUAAAUUCUUCAAAUAUAUUUUUUCUUGAACCUGCAAAUGAAAUUAAAGCUCUGCUGGAUGAACACACUGAUAUGUGUAAACGCAUUCUUAAUAUCUACCGCCACAUGGUAGUCCAAGUGACUAUGGACAAGAAGACAUGGGAGCAGAUGCUACUUGUGCUGCUUAGGGUUACUGAAUCUGUGCUGAAAAUACCACCCCAAACUUUCUUGCAGUAUCAAGGAAGAAAAAACUCCACUUUAGCUGGAAGACUUGCAGGACCUCUUUUCCAGACUCUUAUAGUGGCUUGGAUCAAAGCAAAUCUAAAUGUGUACAUUUCUCGAGAACUUUGGGAUGACUUGCUGUCUGUAAUGUCAUCACUGACGUACUGGGAAGAGCUGGCCACUGAGUGGUCACUGACAAUGGAGACACUAACUAAAGUAUUAGCUAGAAACUUGUAUAGCUUGGACCUCAGUGACCUGCCACUGGAUAAAUUAAGUGAGCAGAAGCAGAAAAAGCACAAAGGCAAAGGAGUUGGGCACGAAUUCCCGAAGUCUUCUGUCGAUAAGUCCUUUUCUAGAGGCUGGAGCCGUGAUCAGCCUGGACAAGCACCAAUGAGACAACGCAGUGCUACAACCACUGGCUCUCCAGGAACAGAAAAGGCAAGAAGCAUAGUACGGCAGAAAACAGUUGCCAUGAGAAGCCGAUCCAUUGGUGAAUGUGCUCUGCCAUCGGCCUAUAUACGCAGUGCUAAAAGUGCUCCUGUUCUGAUCCAUACUUCCAAACCCUUCUUGCCUGAUAUUGUUCUCACUCCCCUUUCUGAUGAGCUUUCAGACAUUGACGAUGCUCAAAUUCUUCCACGUCCACCUCGAGUCAGACAUUUUUCACAGAGUGAGGAUGCUCCAAGUGAAGUUUUUGGUGCGUUAAAUGAGGAACAACCACUGCCACGAAGCAGCAGCACCUCUGACAUCCUGGAACCAUUCGCAGUUGAACGAGCGAAAGGUGCAGUUCCUGUCAUUGACAGUUCAUCCCAUCAUGCUCCAAGCUUACAGAGUUCCACUGAGACCUCUUCAAUGCAUAGAUCCACUGAAAGCCAUAUCACUGAUACAAAUAGCAGAGAGUCCUCCUUGGAAGUUGGGGAUAGUAUUUAUGACCAUCUUUGUCAUUUAAUAGGGCCGGUAGAAUUUGCAAACUCUGCCUUUGAACAAAGCCAAUAUGUUGACCUUGAAGGUGAAGAUGAUCUCCUUUCCUCUCUGAGAGAAUAUCUUAAAGAAAAAGAAGAACUUUGCGGUAACUUUGAGAUAGAUAAAUGUAAGGCUUCUGCUCAUGACGUUGAUACAUCAGUAAAUAGGGAUGAUAGAUUACCACUGGAUGGAUUAGAAAAUAGAGAUCAGACUGGGCAAUGCACAAAUAGCAUCACUGUUACAGAAAGAGACGAUAACACGGAGCUGCACCUAGAACAAAACCCAAGUGGCUUUAUAAGUAAUAUUGCACCUACUCAAGUAGACUUCUUUACGGGAAAUCAAGCGCUCAAUAAAGCCAGACAGUUAGAUAUUAAUAAACACUGUGAAAGCAUAUUUGAUCAUGGGUCAAGUAGUCCUAGCAGCAAAGAAGGGAAGAGAUGCUUGUAUAGGCAAGCAGCCACUGAAGCUGAUGUAGAUUUAGUUGUGGAAGCAGCAGUAGGUGAAAAGCAUAAAAGUGCCCAGUUUAGUGAAAAGCUGACCAACUCACGUAUUAUCCAUGCAAAGAAAAUUCUUUCUAAAGCACAAGUUGACCCUCAAAUGCCUUACAUCACAGGCACAAGCAAACUGGCACCAACUAAAAGAAGUAUAUCUGAAACUGUAACUCAUAGGGCCAAAAUCAUGAAAAUAACAACUAAAAAAAGAAAUAGUGUUCAUGUUACUUUUAGGCCAUCUACAGAAUCGGUUCAAUUUUACAAUCCUCUUGAGAGCAAAGAGGCUGCUUGGAAAGCAAGACUUCGUAAACUCGGUGGCUUCAGUAGUAGCAGUAGUAGUAGCAGCAACAGCAGUACCAGUACAAGCACCAGCUCAUCAAGUGCCACAGAGCUGAUUAGACCUGGAAUAUAUAGACAUCUAGAUGCAAUCAAUGCUGCAUCAUCUGGCAGCAAGCAAAUUAAGGAAUCUACAGAAACUCAAGCAGCUGUGUUGCAGAAAGAAGGUACUGCAGUUAGUCAGUUCCAUAAUCGUAGUGCCUUUAGGGCACCAGGUCAGGAGUCGGCACAACAGCAGGGCUCCCUGGGUGGUGUUUAUAAAACUGUUGUACAUGCUCUUUCGAAGCCGAAGGCAAAUGUUUCCCCACAGAGGCAGAACAGAAUGCCAGCAGAGGCUCCACUGAGGGAUCUGUACAGUCAUGUAAUGGGCUAUUUUGGAAGGAAAGCUGCAGCUAAUAGAGAGGACAUGAGUCAAAAGCUGCACCCUAUUGAUAGUGAUAUUGGCAGUAGCAAUACAAAUGUUCCUGACCUCAUGGAUGAAUUUAUAGCUGAGAGACUCCGCAGUGGUAGUGCACUGAAUGUGACAAGAAGAGGAAGCAGUCCUGGCAGCCUGGAAGUUCCUAAAGACCUUCCUGAUAUAUUGAACAAGCAGAACCAAAUGCGUCCCGUAGACGACCCAGGCGUACCUUCCGAAUGGACAUCACCUGCCAGUGCGGGCAGCAGUGACCUCAUCAGUUCAGACAGCCACUCUGACUCCUUCAGCGCCUUCCAGUAUGAUGGCCGCAAAUUUGAAAAUUUCAGCUUUGGCACUGAGGCAGGGACACCAGCUUCUACUGACGUUGAUGCAAUUUCAGGACAGCAGCAGAGUGCCGAGGAGCAAGAACUGGCCAGUCUAACUACACUCCACAUAGAUUCAGAAACAAGUAGUCUCAAUCAGCAACCAUUGUCUGCUGAAGCUGCAACUAUUACUGGCUCUGAAAGUGCUUCUCCAAUCCAAUCUGCUCUUGGAUCCCGAUCACAGACACCCUCUCCUGCCACUCUUCACGCAGAUCAUAUUGAGCAGAAGGAUCUGCAGCUGGAUGAGAAGCUCCACCACUCUGUUUUACAGACGCCAGAUGACCUAGAAACUAGUGAUUUCCCCUCAGAAUGUUGCAGUGUGAUGGCUGGGGGAACACUUACAGGAUGGCAUGCAGAUGUUGCUACUGUGAUGUGGAGGCGAAUGCUAGGAAUUUUGGGAGAUGUCAACAGCAUCAUGGAUCCAGAGAUUCAUGCCCAGGUUUUUGAUUACCUCUGUGAACUGUGGCAGAAUCUGGCCAAGAUAAGAGACAAUCUUGGUAUUUCAACAGAUAACCUAACUUCACCGUCUCCGCCAGUUUUAAUUCCACCACUGAGAAUUCUAACACCAUGGCUAUUCAAGGCAACAAUGCUGACUGAUAAAUACAAACAAGGAAAGCUACACGCGUAUAAACUUAUUUGUAAGACAAUGAAACGAAGACAAGAUGUUUCUCCAAACAGGGAUUUUUUAACUCAUUUCUACAAUAUAAUGCACUGUGGACUUCUUCACGUUGAUCAAGAUAUUGUCAAUACAAUCAUUAAGCACUGUUCUCCCCAGUUCUUUUCACUUGGUUUGCCCGGUGCUACCAUGCUUAUUAUGGAUUUCAUUGUAGCAGCAGGAAGAGUAGCUGCUUCAUCAUUCCUCAAUGCACCAAGAGUUGAAGCACAGGUUCUUUUAGGAUCUCUAGUCUGUUUUCCCAAUUUAUAUCGUGAACUACCAGCUCUUCACCCAAACAUUCCUGACAUUGCUGUGUCUCACUUUACAGAUGUUAAGGAACUCAUCAUUAAAACUGUGUUAAGUUCAGCAAGAGAGGAGCCAUCUGGUCCUGCACGAUGUGUUGCGCUUUGCAGCCUUGGUAUUUGGAUCUGUGAGGAGCUGGUUCAUGAAUCACAUCAUCCUCAGAUCAAGGAAGCAUUGAAUGUGAUUUGUGUUUCUUUAAAGUUUCCAAAUAAAACAGUAGCCCAAGUUGCCUGCAGUAUGCUGAACAUGCUGAUACAUUAUGUACAUAGACUUCAACUAUAUCAAGCUGAUUCACCUUUACGGAUUAUUCAAAUUCUGAUAGCAACUAUUACACAUCUGCUACCCAGUACGGAAGCUUCCUCUUAUGAGCAGGACAAGAGGUUGGUGGUUUCCUUACUUCUGUGCUUAUUGGAUUGGAUAAUGGCCUUGCCAUUAAAGACUUUGCUGCAGCCUCUUCAUGCUACAGGAGCAGAAAAUGAUAAGACCGAAAGAUCCGUUCUUAACUGUAUAUAUAAGGUUCUGCAUGGGUGUGUCUAUGGAUCUCAGUGUUUUAGCAACCCUAAAUAUUUUCCUCUUAGCCUUUCUGAUCUGGCAUGUAUGGAUUACGAUCCUUUUAUGCAUUUAGAAAGCUUAAAGGAACCAGAACCACUGCAUUCACCAGACUCUGAGAGAUCUUCUAAACUUCAGCCAGUCACUGAAGUGAAAACUCAUAUGCAACAAGGAUUAAUUUCUGUUGCUGCUCGUACUGUGAUAACACAUCUAGUCAACCACUUAGGCCACUAUCCUAUGAGUGGAGGUCCUGCUAUGCUAACCAGUCAAGUGUGUGAAAACAAUGACAAUCCAUACAGUGAAAGUCCUGAGCUUUCUCCUGAACUUUUUGAGAACCCAAAUCUUCAAUUUUUUGUGUUAAACAAUACUUCCUUGGUGUCUUGCAUACAAAUCCAAGCAGAAGAUGACAUGCCUGGGGGAGGACUGUCUGCUGGACUAGCAUCUGCUAAUUCAAAUGUUAGAAUUAUAGUGCGUGAUCUCUCUGGCAAAUACUCAUGGGAUUCAGCCAUUUUGUAUGGACCAUCAUCUUUAUGUGGGUCUUCACAACAAACAUCUUUUGCACUUUCAUUAUCUCAGCAAGAUAAACCAGAAGAUGCUCUUUCAUCUUUUGAGCAUGUGGAGGAUGUAUCUGCAAGGGAUGGAAUUACACUCCAAGUAAAAAGGAAAUUUAGAGACAGUGUACCAACAUGGGAUACAAUUAGGGAUGAAGAAGAUGCCCUUGAUGAACUCCUGCAGUAUUUAGGUGUUACAAGCCCUGAAUGCCUACAGAGAACUGGUGUCUCACUCAAUAUCCCUGCUCCCCAACCAGUCUGCAUCUCAGAGAAACAGGAGAACAAUGUCAUCAAUGCAAUUCUGAAACAGCACACAGAGGAGAGAGAGUUUGUUGAAAAGCAUUUCAAUGAUGUAAAUAUGAGGGCUAUGGAGCAGGAUGAGCCAACCUCACAAAAGUCCCAGUCAGCAUUUUACUACUGCAGAUUACUUCUGAGUAUACUGGGAAUGAAUUCAUGGGAUAAAAGAAGGAGCUUUCAUCUCCUGAAGAAAAAUGAGAAGUUACUUCGAGAACUGAGAAAUUUGGAUUCAAGACAAUGCCGAGAGACACACAAGAUUGCAGUGUUUUAUGUUGCUGAGGGACAGGAAGAUAAACACUCCAUUCUUACGAAUACUGGGGGAAGUCAAGCCUAUGAGGAUUUUGUUGCUGGUCUGGGCUGGGAGGUAAAUCUCACAAAUCAUUGUGGCUUUAUGGGAGGAUUACAAAAAAACAAAAGCACUGGAUUGACCACUCCAUAUUUUGCUACCUCAACAGUAGAAGUAAUGUUCCAUGUGUCAACAAGAAUGCCUUCUGAUUCAGAUGACUCUUUAACAAAAAAGCUAAGACAUUUAGGAAAUGAUGAAGUACACAUUGUCUGGUCAGAGCACACUCGAGAUUAUAGAAGAGGAAUAAUUCCGACAGAAUUUGGUGAUGUUCUUAUAGUUAUCUAUCCCAUGAAAAACCAUAUGUUCAGUAUCCAGAUCAUGAAAAAACCUGAGGUUCCAUUUUUUGGUCCACUUUUUGAUGGUGCUAUUGUGAAUGGAAAAAUUCUGCCUAUUAUGGUUCGUGCAACAGCUAUAAAUGCAAGCCGUGCAUUGAAGUCAUUAAUCCCAUUAUACCAAAACUUUUAUGAGGAGAGAGCACGAUACCUGCAAACAAUUGUUCAACAUCAUCUAGAGCCUACAACUUUUGAAGAUUUUGCUGCUCAGGUUUUCUGUCCAGCACCUUAUCACCAUUUGCCCUCAGAGACGGAUCAUUAAAUAUCAGUUCUGUUUAUCUGAAGGUAAGACAAAGUGUCCAAAAACCCCUUUGUUCCUCUUACUUUUACUAGAGCACUAAGCUUGUAACCAAAGUGUAUGCAAACUUUCCUUGUUGACCUUGUUCACACUAAAAAAAACAAUUCACACUGAUUGAGAAAUGACCACUACAUCUUCUAAAAGUUUUAGUCUUUUACUAACCUCAGGUCUGCAUGAAGCACUAACACUGGUUCUGGGAUUAAGGUAACUAAUGAUAGAGACAGUUGUUGAAUGAAUAACACUUUAUUGUGUUGACCUUUGUUUCUCAGCAUGCACAAGUAGUACUGGAUGGCAAUGGUGUGUUUUGUACCCUGUACUGUCUUUCAUUGAUGUUGUAAGACAUUCUCCAGUGAUAACCUAGGAGAGAAGGAGAAGAAGAAUGUGUAACACUUAAAAUUCUUGUUCAGAAAAACCCUAUUUAAUGAUAAUCAAAAUGCUUCCAUGAAAAAGCUGUAAAUCUAAAUGAAAUAAAUUUUGUAAGAAUAAUUUGGCAAGUUGUUACCUGAAAAUUUGUUUCUCAAUUGGAAAAAUGUAUGCAGAAAUUAAUUCUAAAUUAUAUCAGAAUUGUGAUAGGACUACAGAAGGAAUGGUGUAGAGGUAUUAAAAUGCUGAGACUCCUUUACUUGAAAGUAUAAACAAUAACUAGAAAUGAGGUGCAGUUUCAAAGUAUAAUAAGUGGUAUAGUUGUGCUAGUGGAAAUAGUUGAGACCAAAGAGAAACAAAAUUAAAAGUAAGUAAUGUAAAACUAAUUAAAUCAGUAUAAAAAAUAUUAACAUAAUUUAAUAUAUGAAAGCAUCUGAAUGGGAAAAAUCUGUAACUAGAAACAUUAAAAGCAAUAACCAGGGAUACCAGUCCUUGCCACAUUUCCUGCCUGAUGGACCUAGUAAGUAUUCAACAUCAGACACUUUUUUAUGGCUAGUAUAUAUUCUGUAUUCUAGUGCACUUAUAGCAGGUCUGCCUAUUUAUUUUCAGAAAUCUCAUUCCAGGCCAAGUCCUUCCUCCCUCUUCCUCUAGUUCUUUCUUUCAGGGUGAAGCAAACCUGCUUUUCUGUGCUAGUUUGAUGCAUCAGAGUACUCUGCUCUACAAUGGCAAUUCCUGUAUUCUUUUAAAAAUUGUCUCAGUCAUACUUGGUAUUCUCUAACACGAUCUGAAAUGAGGCUAUGGUUUUUUAUAAACUUGAUUUUUAACUCAACCUUUCUAUCAAACUUAAUAAUUUUCUGUAGGAAUCUCAUUAAUAGAAGCUUGUGUUGUAUUUCACAUCUGCACAUAUGUCUGUGUGUGUCUACAUACCACGAAACACAAUGUCCUGUCCUGGAGGGCCACCUUCUUCUGAACCUUGCACUGUGCAGUGCAAAUGACCAAGACAUCAGUGUCAGGAGCAGCCAGCAGCUUCCUAGAAUGGACAUGCAGCACAGUGUGACUCAGAGUCAAACAACAUGUUUCCAGAUCUGCCUGACUCUGAGCUUUUGUUUCAGCCCAGGGAAACUGGGGAUGCUCUGACAGUCCUGCUUGCAGCCUGAUCCUUGUUCCAUCUGAGGCUCCCGGAACUCUUAUGCUCAGCUCUAGGACAGAGUGCCUGGAAUAGCACCACACCAUCUGCCUCCAAGCUGACUCUGGAGGGCACAAACUGUAAAGCCUGAGUCAGGUGUAAAGCAACACUGCAGUUACCUGCCGAAAAGGUUACCCCAGGGCUUGGGGUUAGCCUGGAAACCACUGGUUUCCAGUUCUAGUGAAGGCAGACCUGUGAGUGAGGUUGUUGCUACAGAUGACCCAAAUCUCUGAUGGGCUUUGGUCCCACUAGUCCACUGUGUAUGCUAUUUAAAAAAAAAAAAAAAAAUAGCUAUCCCCAAGCUUCCAGGGCCCCUGCAACAAAUGGAUUUCUUGAAAGAUGUACAGAGCACUGAACUAUGCCAGGACUGAACAUAGGAGUGGUGCUGGAGUCCUGCCUGGGAAUCCUCAUGCAUUCAUCACACCCAAGAUGACUUAGAAAAAACCUUGCAGGCUCUCUGCUCAGCAUGUCCAUGUCAUCUCAAAAUAUCUGACCAGAUCCUAAAAAUACAUCACAUUUUUAAAUACAAAAUAUUUAAUUUAUGUCUGAGAGUUCUUUUAAUGAAAAAUAAUUGAACAGAAGAGGCUAGAAAAAAAAUCCACAUUUUAGAUAUUAUAGGUUUGAUUCUUUAAUUGUAUCAUGAUCUCCAGGUUUACAACUGCUGAAUAUGUUUAAUUUUAUAAAAUAUUCUAUGCAUUUUUUUCAUCUAAGAAAGAUCUGUAGAAACUAUGAGGCUUCUACAGCCCAUCACCAGGUAUUGUCAUUUUGUUGUUGUUGUGAGACCAUUGACCAGUUACAGCAUGCCAUUUUUUUUCGUUUGAACUAUGAUAAUCGGGGCAAUUAGAGAACAUGCCAUUCAGUAACAAACUGAAUUUCCUCAGCAUAUUUUAUCAAAGGCUCAGCCCUCAGCAAAAGCAGUUUUCUUUUUUAUCAUAGGUACUCUUCAAGACAGUGUGAUUGUGGCAGCUGCUGUUUUAUCUAGAAGCUUAGUUUGCCCCAUCAAAAUAUCUGACAAGUCCACCUUCCCAUGUUUAGGAACCUGACUAGUGUAGUGGAUGUGUACAUUUUAAAAAAAUUGAGAUUUACCUGUACUUAAGCACAGAAUGUAAUUCAGUUGCCUCUGUGUUUUUUACGUUAUGCUGUCUCUGUUAAGUAGUGUAAUUGCAAGUACUCUGCUAAAUAGAGGAACUUGUCCUUUGCAGCUAUUGAGUGAACCAGAUCUCUGUGACACCAGAAUAGGUUGAGGGAACUGUCAAUGGUAAGCUCAAUUAUAUUGAAGGGCACAUUGACCUCAUGAUGCUAAGAUUCUGAGCUUUAAAAUGUACUCACAUCUUGGAUUUGUUUUUUCUCUGUCUUCUUUUGUUCCCUUUCUUCCUACUUAAACUAGUACCGCCUUACAGUAAACUUUAUGAAGAAGGAGCCUCUCUACAUUAGUCAUAGAAUUUUCCUUGUGACAAAAGCACCAGACUUUUUGGUCCCAGCAAUCACUCCUGUAUUCUCAGGCCUGCAUUCAGAACAAUUCUGUGCCCCACUCCCAAUCUAAGUGGGGAUGCCAUCAUACAGGCAGGGAAGCAGUGGAAUGUAGAGAUAAUGAUGCUUCAGCCUUGCACAAGAAAAAAUCACAUUCAGCAGCUCUCAUCCAAAUUUCUUUUGCUGCUUGUUUGUUGUGAAACUUGAAACUAGUGCCUUUUUGGCCCUGUACCACCCCUUCACAGAUGAGAAUGUUGGUGCUUUUUGUGUGAUUGGAAGUAAAGCUGAAAUACAGAAAUGAGGACUUUGUGUCUGGAAGGACUGGAAGAAUUUCUCAUUAUCCCUUCUCUAGUCCAAACUCGGGAAGACUUUUUUCAUUCCAAAUCAGAGCAAAACCUCAAAACUUACUGACAUUUUCCAAAUGGAAUGUCAUAUUGCAACAGCUGAAGCUGAAACCUUAUGCAUUUCUGAACUAUUGUCCUUAAGUCAACCACUUGAGUGAAGGUACAUUGAGGUCCUGCACUUUGAGGCAGUAAAUUCAGUGUGGACUGCUAGAAACUCAAACAGAUCAACUUUCUACAUUUAUUGAAAAGGGUCCACUGAAAAAAAGAGUAUGAUUGUCCAAUGAAAAAGUAUAGUACAAGGGGAUGCUAAUUUUUGAAGUUUUGACUUUAUUUUCUUGUGACAUUUGCUCGUGUAAUCCUUUCCAUUUUUGUUUUUAAAGCAUAGGGCAAAAUAGAAAUUCUGUAACACUGAAUUAACAACCACAUGAUACAUAAGCAAAACUGCAACCUCUAGAGCCACCAUCACCUCCUGCAGACUGAGAUAGGACAAUAAUUGGUAGUAAUGGUAAGCUCUGCCUUAAUCUUCACUAGUGGAAAGACUAAUUUUGCCAGUGGGUUUCACAGAUGUUAGUUGACAGAGAGGAAUAGGCUUAUUAACCUAACAUGCAUGGUUCCAGCCGAAUUCUGAAGAGCAUUCUUCAUUGGACGUGGACUUGGCUGCUGUUUUUCCACAAACUUAAUCUUUUUUCUCUCUAUCCUUUCUCGUGUGUCCUCUUAGUUCUUUCUCUUCUUCCAAUCUGGUCUCCCAGGUCUUCAGACCAUCUUUUCCUCACCUCUUUGCCUUUCUGUGCUGCUACUUUUGCAGUUUUUCUCUCUACAUUUUCUUCUCACUUCCUUUCUUCAUUUCACAAAAUUAGUGAGAAACUGACACUAAGAAAGCUCUGCUGAGCAUGAUGGACAACUUGGCCAAAUUUGUACUGGAAUUUGUAAGAGUGGCAAUGAGCACAAACUGUACAAAAAUGAUUGCCCUCUUCCCUGAAGGUCAGAUGGAAUAUGCUGAAGUAUCUUAAAAGACCAUCAGAAUCUACCAACAUGUAAAAAUUAUAUUUUCCUCUGUGGUCAUUCUGAGGCAGCACUCAGGACAACAUUGAUCCAGACAAUGAGGUGUGAUAAUGCCAGAAGCACUGAGAGUAGUCUUACCCUGUCUUAACAUCAACAUCCUGUCAGGCUUCUGCUCAGUGAGUUUUUCACCUUUGAAAGACUGAUGGGCAAGAUGAGUUAUGGCAAUGUGUAUGUUAUGAUACCUCCGGAUUCCUCCAGCUCACCAUACUCUCAGUCUGUGUGGAGCUAAUAUUCCAUUUUAGGUUUAAAUAGUGAAUUUCUGAGCAAAAAACCCAAUGUCUUAUUACUAGAUCCUAGAGUUUUUCAAAUGGAGUAUGAAAAUGUCGCAUUUCAACUUUGUUGACCCAUCUUCUUGUUCAGAAGCAUUUGAAGCAGCUUUACAUUAUGGUCCCAAAAUAUCAUAGCAUUAUCAGGCUAUGAUAUUUGUCACUUAUCAAGCCUAAGAGGAGAAAAAUAUGGAUCACUUCCUGACAUUUUUCAACCUCUUAAAAGUCCAAACAUCUAUUUUGUUUAUUUUAUAGAACUUUCUGGAUUCACAUCAAUUGCCAAUAAAGCCUUCAUAUUUAACCCUAGUUUUAUAUUUUGGAUAACUAAAUAUUUCACUGUUGUUGUGGUUUAGGAAUGGUAUUCUCCAAUUUAGUGUUCCCACUGAAACCAUUCCAAACCACACACUGCACCAUCAC